rnacentral:rRNA from 1 species
UAGAGUUUGAUCCUGGCUCAGGAUGAACGCUGGCGGCGUGCUUAACACAUGCAAGUCGAACGAUGAAGCCCAGCUUGCUGGGUGGAUUAGUGGCGAACGGGUGAGUAACACGUGAGUAACCUGCCCCUGACUCUGGGAUAAGCCCGGGAAACUGGGUCUAAUACCGGAUAUGACUUUUGACCGCAUGGUUGAGGGUGGAAAGAUUUAUCGGUUGGGGAUGGACUCGCGGCCUAUCAGCUUGUUGGUGAGGUAAUGGCUCACCAAGGCGACGACGGGUAGCCGGCCUGAGAGGGUGACCGGCCACACUGGGACUGAGACACGGCCCAGACUCCUACGGGAGGCAGCAGUGGGGAAUAUUGCACAAUGGGCGCAAGCCUGAUGCAGCGACGCCGCGUGAGGGAUGACGGCCUUCGGGUUGUAAACCUCUUUCAGUAGGGAAGAAGCGAGAGUGACGGUACCUGCAGAAGAAGCGCCGACUAACUACGUGCCAGCAGCCGCGGUAAUA